rnacentral:rRNA from 1 species
GAUGAACGCUAGCUACAGGCUUAACACAUGCAAGUCGAGGGGAAACGAUAGAGAAAGCUUGCUUUUUCUAGGCGUCGACCGGCGCACGGGUGAGCAACGCGUAUCCAACCUGCCCAUCACUUGGGGAUAACCUUGCGAAAGUAAGAUUAAUACCCAAUGACGUCUCUAGAAGACAUCUGAAAGGGAUUAAAGAUUUAUCGGUGAUGGAUGGGGAUGCGUCUGAUUAGCUUGUUGGCGGUGUAACGGCCCACCAAGGCGACGAUCAGUAGGGGUGCUGAGAGGAAGGUCCACCACAUUGGAACUGAGACACGGUACAAACUCCUACGGGAGGCAGCAGUGAGUAAUAUUGGUCAAUGGACGAGAGUCUGAACCAGCCAAGUAGCGUGCAGGAUGACGGCCCGAUGGGUUGUAAACUGCUUUUAUAAGGGAAUAAAGUGAGAGUCGUGACUCUUUUUGCAUGUACCUUAUGAAUAAGGACCGGCUAAUUCCGUGCCAGCCGCCGCCGUAA